rnacentral:pre_miRNA from 1 species
UCUUAUGGAUGAGCAAAGAAAGGGGUUUCUUGAGAUGGAAUCUUGAGAUGGUGAAGAUACUGUGAA